rnacentral:rRNA from 1 species
GAUGAACGCUGGCGGCGUGCUUAACACAUGCAAGUCGAACGGAAAGGCCCCUGCUUGCAGGGGUACUCGAGUGGCGAACGGGUGAGUAACACGUGGGUGAUCUGCCCUGCACUUCGGGAUAAGCCCGGGAAACUGGGUCUAAUACCGGAUAGGACCAUGGUCUGCAUGCCAGUGUGUAGAGUGUUUCGGUGGGGGAUGAGCUCGCGGCCUAUCAGCUUGUUGGUGGGGUAAUGGUCUACCAAGGCGUCGACGGGUAGCCGGCCUGAGAGGGUGUACGGCCACAUUGGGACUGAGAUACGGCCCAGACUCCUACGGGAGGCAGCAGUGGGGAAUAUUGCACAAUGGGCGCAAGCCUGAUGCAGCGACGCCGCGUGGGGGAUGACGGCCUUCGGGUUGUAAACUCCUUUCGCUAGGGACGAAGCGCAAGUGACGGUACCUGGAGAAGAAGCACCGGCUAACUACGUG